GAUGAACGCUGGCGGCGUGCCUAAUACAUGCAAGUCGAGCGGAGCGGGGACGGGUGAGUAACACGUGGAUAACCUCCUAUAAGACUGGGAUAACUUCGGGAAACCUGAGCUAACCCGGAAACUUAUAGAUGGAUCCUCGCUGCAUUAGCUAGUUUGUAAGGUAACGGCUUACCAAGGCAACGAUGCAUAGCCGACCUGAGCGUGUGAUCGGCCACACUGGAACUGAGACACGGUCCAGACUCCGACGGGAGGCAGCAGUAGGGAAGCUUCCGCAAUGGGCGAAAGCCUGACGGAGCAACGCCGCGUGAGUGAUGAAGGUCUUCGGAUCGUAAAACUCUGUUAGUAGGGAAGCGGUACCGAAUCAGAAAGCCACGGCUAACGACGUGCCAGCAGCCGCGGUAAUUC
rnacentral:rRNA from 1 species